rnacentral:rRNA from 1 species
AGUGGCGGACGGGUGAGUAACGCGUGAGGAACCUGCCUUGAAGAGGGGGACAACAGUUGGAAACGACUGCUAAUACCGCAUGACGCAUAGAGGUCGCAUGAUCUUUAUGCCAAAGAUUUAUCGCUUCAAGAUGGCCUCGCGUCUGAUUAGCUGGUUGGCGGGGUAACGGCCCACCAAGGCGACGAUCAGUAGCCGGACUGGGAGGUUGAACGGCUACAUUGGGACUGAGAUACGGCCCAGACUCCUACGGGAGGCAGCAGUGGGGAAUAUUGGGCAAUGGGCGCAAGCCUGACCCAGCAACGCCGCGUGAAGGAAGAAGGCUUUCGGGUUGUAAACUUCUUUUAAGAGGGAAGAGCAGAAGACGGUACCUCUAGAAUAAGCCACGGCUAACUACGUGCCAGCAGCCGCGGUAAUACGUAGGUGGCAAGCGUUGUCCGGAUUUACUGGGUGUAAAGGGCGUGCAGCCGGGUCUGCAAGUCAGAUGCGAAAUCCAUGGGCUCAACCCAUGAACUGCAUUUGAAACUGUAGAUCUUGAGUGUCGGAGGGGCAAUCGGAAUUCCUAGUGUAGCGGUGAAAUGCGUAGAUAUUAGGAGGAACACCAGUGGCGAAGGCGGAUUGCUGGACGAUAACUGACGGUGAGGCGCGAAAGUGUGGGGAGCAAACAGGAUUAGAUACCCUGGUAGUCCACACUGUAAACGAUGAAUACUAGGUGU